rnacentral:rRNA from 1 species
UACGUAGGGUGCAAGCGUUGUCCGGAAUUAUUGGGCGUAAAGAGCUCGUAGGCGGUCUGUCGCGUCGGCUGUGAAAUCCCGGAGCUCAACUCCGGGUCUGCAGUCGAUACGGGCAAACUGGAGUACUGCAGGGGAGAACGGAAUUCCGGGUGUAGUGGUGAAAUGCGUAGAGAUCCGGAGGAACACCAGUGGCGAAGGCGGCUCGCUGGGCUCAACCUGACGCUGAGGCGCGAAAGCGUGGGGAGCGAACAGG